AGCCAACUCUAGCCCAAUGACGCACGUUCUACUUGCCAGUCAAAACCUACUUUUAAAUAAAAACUAAAACAUUCUCUUAACCUAGUAUAGGCGAUAGAAAAGUUCUACAAUGGCGCCAUAGAGAUUUAUGUACCGCAAGGGAAAGAUGAAAUAAUAAUGAACAAACCCAGCAAACAACAGCAAAGAUCAACUCUUGUACCUUUUGCAUCAUGAUUUAGCGAGAAUACCCAAGCAAAGCGCACUUAAGUUUGCCCCCCCGAAACUCGAGCGAGCUACUCUCAAGCAGCUACACUACUGAGCAAACCCGUCUCUGUCGCAAAAGAGUGGGACGACUUGUUAGUAGAGGUGAAAAGCCAAUCGAGCCGAGUGAUAGCUGGUUGCCUGUAAAAUGAAUUUAAGUUCUCCCUUGACCUUCCUCUACGGACACCUAACUUAAACCUUAACACGAAGCAGAUCAAGGGCUACUCAAAGGAGGUACAGCUCCUCUGAGGAAGAGCAGACUCUCUUAUAGCGGAUAAUACGGCCCCCCUUUACUCUUGUAGGCCUUUAAGCAGCCAACAACAAAGAAUGCGUCAAAGCUCUAUACAAAAAAAUAUGAAAACUACAAGACUCCCUUACACAGCUAACAGGCCAACCUAUCGCAAUAGGAGAACCAAUGCUAAAAUGAGUAACUUAGGGGUACUACCCCUCCACGGCGCGAGCUUACACUCCCCCGUUAUUAACAGACUAAGCAACUCAUAUCUUUAACCCCAAACAAGAAACGAUAUCAAACACUUCUGUUAACCCCACUCAGGAGCGCCCCCCAGAAAGACUAAAACCUGCAAAAGGAACUAGGCAAACCACCAAGACCCGACUGUUUACCAAAAACAUAGCCUUUAGCCCCCCAAGUAUUAAAGGUGAUGCCUGCCCAGUGACACCGUUCAACGGCCGCGGUAUCCUAACCGUGCGAAGGUAGCGCAAUCAAUUGUCUCAUAAAUCGAGACCAGUAUGAAUGGCUAAACGAGGUCUUAACUGUCUCUUACAGGUAGUCAGUGAAAUUGAUCUCCCUGUGCAAAAGCAGGGAUAAGCCCAUAAGACGAGAAGACCCUGUGGAACUUAAAAAUCAAUAGCCACACACACAAACUUCCCUCCUAACUCAAGGCCCACCUACCUAUUAACAAUGCUGGCUUAUAUUUUUUGGUUGGGGCGACCCUGGAGAAAAACAAAACCUCCAGAACCAAGACCACCCCUCUUAACCCAGAGCAACCCCUCAACGUACUAACAGUAACCAGACCCAAUAAAAUUGACCAAUGGACCAAGCUACCCCAGGGAUAACAGCGCAAUCCCCCCCAAGAGCCCCCAUCGACGGGGGGGUUUACGACCUCGAUGUUGGAUCAGGACAUCCUAGUGGUGCAGCCGCUACCAAGGGUUCGUUUGUUCAACGAUUAAUAGUCCUACGUGAUCUGAGUUCAGACCGGAGCAAUCCAGGUCGGUUUCUAUCUAUGAYGGACUAUCCCCAGUACGAAAGGACAGGGAUAAGUGAAGCCAAUGCCACAGACACGCUUCCUAUACUAAGUAAUGAACACAACUAAAUUACCAAAAAUACCCUACAACCCAUGCCCUAGAAAAGGAUUAA
rnacentral:rRNA from 1 species